AUGGGGCGAUAGCUCAAGCCAUGGAAUCAAGGUCUCAUCAAAGUAUUCGAACACAACAAAGAGACAUCAUCAAAUGUUUUUGGAAACAUUUGAUAAGUAAAUCCCUUUUAAAUGAUAAAAGGGAUUAAUGCAUAACCAAGUUAACCUACGAGCAUAAGCUCUCUCAACAAGAUGUAUAAGAUACACUAGUGAUUGACUUUA
rnacentral:lncRNA from 1 species